UAGCUCAGUUGGUAUAGAAUCUGCCUGCAAUGCAGGAGACCCCGGGUUCGAUUCCUGG
rnacentral:tRNA from 1 species